rnacentral:rRNA from 1 species
CAAAAACAUAGCUAUUAGAAUUUAGUAAUAGUGAAUUCUGCUCAAUGAAUUUUAAAUAGCCGCAGUACACUGACUGUGCAAAGGUAGCAUAAUCAGUUGGCUUAUAAUUGAAGUCUUGUAUGAAGGAAUAAAUGAGGAGUAACUGUAUCUGGAACAGAAAGUGAAAUUAUUUAGUGAGUGCAAAUUCUCAUAAAUACAUAAUAGACGCGRAGACCCUAGAAAUUUUAAAUAUUUGUAUGGUGAUUUUUUGUUGGGGCMACAGUGUAACAGAUAACUUACAUUAUAGUACAAGAAAUUUAUUUGAAAGAAUGAAAUUACUCUAGGGAUAACAGCGUAAUAUUUAUAUGUUUGCGACCUCGAUGUUGGACUAGGAAACGAAUACUUAAAAGGUUUAGUUGUAACGCUCUGUUCG